UGGAAGUAAAAGUCGUAACAAGGUUUCCGUAGGUGAACCUGCGGAAGGGUCAUUACAGAAUGAAAGUGCUUAACUGCAUUUUUUUACACAUGUGUUUUUCUUUUUUUUUGAAAACUUUGCUUUGGUGGGCCCAUGGCCUGCCAGAGAUUAAACUCAACCAAAUUUUAUUUAAGUCAACUGAUUAACUAAUAGUCAAAACUUUCAACAACGGAUCUCUUGGUUCUCGCAUCGAUGAAGAACGCAGCGAAAUGCGAUAAGUAAUAUGAAUUGCAGAUAUUCGUGAAUCAUCGAAUCUUUGAACGCACAUUGCGCCCUUUGGUAUUCCAAAGGGCAUGCCUGUUUGAGCGUCAUUUCUCCCUCAAACCUUCGGGUUUGGUGUUGAGCGAUACGCUGGGUUUGCUUGAAAGAAAGGCGGAGUAUAAACUAAUGGAUAGGUUUUUUUCCACUCAUUGGUACAAACUCCAAAAUUCUUCCAAAUUCGACCUCAAAUCAGGUAGGACUACCCGCUGAACUUAAGCAUAUCAAUAAGCGGAGGAA
rnacentral:rRNA from 1 species